UUUCCGUAGGUGAACCUGCGGAAGGAUCAUUACUGAACUGUCGACACGAGUUGUUGCUGGCCUUCAAAUGGGGGCAUGUGCACGCUCUGUUUACACAUCCACUCACACCUGUGCACCCUCUGUAGUUCUAUGGUGUGGGGGGCCCUGCCCUCCUGCUGUGGUUCUAUGUCUUUACACACACACUGUGAUGAAGUCUUAUGGAAUGUACAUCGCGUUUAACGCAAUACAAUACAACUUUCAGCAACGGAUCUCUUGGCUCUC
rnacentral:misc_RNA from 1 species